rnacentral:tRNA from 1 species
GGAGAGAUGGCAGAGUGGACGAUUGCGGCGGUCUCGAAAACCGUUUUAGUACCAACUAACGGGGGUUCGAAUCCCCCUCUCUCCG